GAAGACAAAAUGAAAAACAUCACUUUAGCAUUUCCCAAUACAGUAAUUAUUACGGGAGUUUAUUUCUGUGAGACAAGAGACGUUGUUGCUGCCAUGGAACCAAACAGGACUGUCCUGCCUGUUACUGGGAUGUGAGACUUCAGUCAUGUGACCUUUAUGUGUUACAAUGGGUGCUACCACCUCGGGCACAGACGGGGGAGCACCCUGGCGACCCAGGCAAUCCCGGCAUGAGGAAACCAAUCCUGAAGGGCCCAUCACUGCUGGGGUCUGAAGUGCCUACCCUACCUGCCAGCUGACUGUGCUCCCAGCUUUCCUGGUUCCCUAGAAUAAACCUGAGAUUCUACUGUGAAAGUCACAAACAACCACAAGGUGGUGCUAGAGGGCUACCUACUGUCAGAGAAAUGCUUCACUACCUCUAACUACCACAAGGCGGGGACAGAGUACAGCCAAGUGCCAAAUAAUUAAUUCACUACUACUUCUGUUCUGCCUACUGUCAGAGAAAUGCUUCACUACCUCUAACUACCACAAGGUGGGGACAGAGUACAGCCAAGUGCCAAAUAAUAAAUUCACUACUACUUCUGUUCUACCUACUGUCAGAGAAAUGCUCACUACCUCUAACUACCACAAGGUGGGGACAGAGUACAGCCAAGUGCCAAAUAAUUAAUUCACUACUACUUCUGUUCUACCUACUGUCAGAGAAAUGCUUCACUACCUCUAACUACCACAAGGUGGGGACAGAGUACAGCCAAGUGCCAAAUAAUAAAUUCACUACUACUUCUGUUCUACCUACUGUCAGAGAAAUGCCUCACUACCUCUAACUACCACAAGGUGGGGACAGAGUACAGCCAAGUGCCAAAUAAUUAAUUCACUACUACUUCUGUUCUACCUACUGUCAGAGAAAUGCCUCACUACCUCUGACUGCCCAAGGUGGUGUUAGAGUAUUACCUUUUAAUCUACUAUAAAUAAAUGUAAAGCAACUGGAAUUGUUAAGUAAUCAUUGAAGACGUUUCACUACUGAUCCGAGCAGCUUCUUCAGUUCAACUGACUGGUAUGGGAAAUCCUCAGCAUAUGAACUCUUCCUUAGGAGACUGUUGGGAGUAUAGCCAGACUGUGCAUCACCAGGUGGCGCUGUACCUAUUUCAUUAUAUCUGCAGUUUCCAAACAGAACUCUGCGCAAUUUUUCUUUCAUGGGCAGCAGGGUAUAAUAUGCCUGUAUGAGUGCCAGGUAAUAUACACAGUGACUGCAUUUAUAUGUAGGAUCCCAUUUUGUUGUAUGGGUUAAUAAGGCAUUGAAGAUUCCUACUGGUUCUUCCUCCCUAGGCCGUAUUCCUUUUCUCAUUAAUCAUAUAUAUUCCCCCAAAAUACAAUAAACAUCAGUGAUUCUUAUUUAA